rnacentral:rRNA from 1 species
UACGUAGGGGGCAAGCGUUGUCCGGAUUUAUUGGGCGUAAAGAGCGUGUAGGCGGUUUGGUAGGUCCGCUGUGAAAACUCGAGGCUCAACCUCGAGACGCCGGUGGAAACCAUCAGACUAGAGUCCGGAAGAGGAGAGUGGAAUUCCCGGUGUAGCGGUGAAAUGCGCAGAUAUCAGGAGGAACACCGGUGGCGAAGGCGGGUCUCUGGGCCGAUACUGACGCUGAGGAGCGAAAGCGUGGGGAGCGAACAGG